CCUUACGGGUGGCAGCAGUGGGGAAUAUUGGACAAUGGGCGAAAGCCUGAUCCAGCCAUGCCGCGUGUGUGAAGAAGGCCUUCGGGUUGUAAAGCACUUUCAGUGGGGAAGAAAGCCUUGGGGCUAAUACCCUCGAGGAAGGACAUCACCCACAGAAGAAGCACCGGCUAACUCCGUGCCAGCAGCCGCGGUAAUACGGAGGGUGCGAGCGUUAAUCGGAAUUACUGGGCGUAAAGCGCGCGUAGGCGGUCUGAUAAGCCGGUUGUGAAAGCCCCGGGCUCAACCUGGGAACGGCAUCCGGAACUGUCAGGCUAGAGUGCAGGAGAGGAAGGUAGAAUUCCCGGUGUAGCGGUGAAAUGCGUAGAGAUCGGGAGGAAUACCAGUGGCGAAGGCGGCCUUCUGGACUGACACUGACGCUGAGGUGCGAAAGCGUGGGUAGCAAACAGGAUUAGAUACCCCGGUAGUC
rnacentral:rRNA from 1 species